AGACCCGAAACCCGGUGAUCUAGCCAUGGGCAGGUUGAAGGUUGGGUAACACUAACUGGAGGACCGAACCGACUAAUGUUGAAAAAUUAGCGGAUGACCUGUGGCUGGGGGUGAAAGGCCAAUCAAACCGGGAGAUAGCUGGUUCUCCCCGAAAGCUAUUUAGGUAGCGCCUCGUGAAUUCAUCUCCGGGGGUAGAGCACUGUUUCGGCUAGGGGGCCAUCCCGGCUUACCAACCCGAUGCAAACUGCGAAUACCGGAGAAUGUUAUCACGGGAGACACACGGCGGGUGCUAACGUCCGUCGUGAAGAGGGAAACAACCCAGACCGCCAGCUAAGGUCCCAAAGUCAUGGUUAAGUGGGAAACGAUGUGGGAAGGCCCAGACAGCCAGGAUGUUGGCUUAGAAGCAGCCAUCAUUUAAAGAAAGCGUAAUAGCUCACUGGUCGAGUCGGCCUGCGCGGAAGAUGUAACGGGGCUAAACCAUGCACCGAAGCUGCGGCAGCGAACGUAUCACUUAAAGCGAUUCAGCGGGUUACGAUUGACGGAGCGAAGCGACGUCAAAGCGUAUACAAAGUCGAGUCGGUUUAAGGAUACGUUCGUUGGGUAGGGGAGCGUUCUGUAAGCCUGUGAAGGUGGCCUGUGAGGGUUGCUGGAGGUAUCAGAAGUGCGAAUGCUGACAUAAGUAACGAUAAAGCGGGUGAAAAGCCCGCUCGCCGGAAGACCAAGGGUUCCUGUCCAACGUUAAUCGGGGCAGGGUGAGUCGACCCCUAAGGCGAGGCCGAAAGGCGUAGUCGAUGGGAAACGGGUUAAUAUUCCCGUACUUGGUGUUACUGCGAAGGGGGGACGGAGAAGGCUAUGUUGGCCGGGCGACGGUUGUCCCGGUUUAAGCGUGUAGGUGUGUGUUCCAGGUAAAUCCGGUUCACUUUAACACUGAGGCGUGACGACGAGGCACUACGGUGCUGAAGCAACAAAUGCCCUGCUUCCAGGAAAAGCCUCUAAGCAUCAGGUAACAUCAAAUCGUACCCCAAACCGACACAGGUGGUCAGGUAGAGAAUACCAAGGCGCUUGAGAGAACUCGGGUGAAGGAACUAGGCAAAAUGGUGCCGUAACUUCGGGAGAAGGCACGCUGACAUGUAGGUGAAGUGAUUUACUCAUGGAGCUGAAGUCAGUCGAAGAUACCAGCUGGCUGCAACUGUUUAUUAAAAACACAGCACUGUGCAAACACGAAAGUGGACGUAUACGGUGUGACGCCUGCCCGGUGCCGGAAGGUUAAUUGAUGGGGUCAGCGCAAGCGAAGCUCCUGAUCGAAGCCCCGGUAAACGGCGGCCGUAACUAUAACGGUCCUAAGGUAGCGAAAUUCCUUGUCGGGUAAGUUCCGACCUGCACGAAUGGCGUAAUGAUGGCCAGGCUGUCUCCACCCGAGACUCAGUGAAAUUGAACUCGCUGUGAAGAUGCAGUGUACCCGCGGCAAGACGGAAAGACCCCGUGAACCUUUACUAUAGCUUGACACUGAACAUUGAGCCUUGAUGUGUAGGAUAGGUGGGAGGCUUUGAAGUGUGGACGCCAGUCUGCAUGGAGCCGGCCUUGAAAUACCACCCUUUAAUGUUUGAUGUUCUAACGUGGACCCGUGAUCCGGGUUGCGGACAGUGUCUGGUGGGUAGUUUGACUGGGGCGGUCUCCUCCUAAAGAGUAACGGAGGAGCACGAAGGUUGGCUAAUCCUGGUCGGACAUCAGGAGGUUAGUGCAAUGGCAUAAGCCAGCUUGACUGCGAGCGUGACGGCGCGAGCAGGUGCGAAAGCAGGUCAUAGUGAUCCGGUGGUUCUGAAUGGAAGGGCCAUCGCUCAACGGAUAAAAGGUACUCCGGGGAUAACAGGCUGAUACCGCCCAAGAGUUCAUAUCGACGGCGGUGUUUGGCACCUCGAUGUCGGCUCAUCACAUCCUGGGGCUGAAGUAGGUCCCAAGGGUAUGGCUGUUCGCCAUUUAAAGUGGUACGCGAGCUGGGUUUAGAACGUCGUGAGACAGUUCGGUCCCUAUCUGCCGUGGGCGCUGGAGAACUGAGGGGGGCUGCUCCUAGUACGAGAGGACCGGAGUGGACGCAUCACUGGUGUUCGGGUUGUCAUGCCAAUGGCACUGCCCGGUAGCUAAAUGCGGAAGAGAUAAGUGCUGAAAGCAUCUAAGCACGAAACUUGCCCCGAGA
rnacentral:rRNA from 1 species